rnacentral:lncRNA from 1 species
UUUUCUUUACCCAACAAAAAAAAAAAAAUCUAUGAAGUUUUAGUUUUGUUGAUGAUAUUUUUGGAUUGUUUUCAUCGGAAGGAAAGAGGUGGAGUAAAAGAAAAUGAUAGCUCUUACUUGCAAUUAGAAAUACACAGUCAGAGACGUAUUCCACAAUCAAGACAAUUAAAUUCCUGAAGGAAGUAAACAAGGAAAGAAGAAAAGAGGCUGAGAAUAGUGGGGAAUGUGGUGAAAGCUUUCAAUAGAGGAAAAAGCUCAUAGUGUAGUUAUUUGAUCUUUUAAUUACUUUAUGUAUGAGAUUGAAAAAUAGUGAUUUGAUUGAGAUAUUGAUCAUUGAUAAAAUAUUUGUGUAUAAUUCAAAAAUGAUCAAUGUGAGUAAUGAUUAGUUAUAUUUAAUGAUCUUAAAUAUGUGUAAGUUGUAUUUAAUGAUUUUAAAUAAAUUAUAUGUCAAAUGAUCAAAUUUAAAAAUGAUUGUUUUGAUUAAAUAAUCAC